GAUGGAGGCAAACGGAUGGGUCUUAAUUUUGAGAGAGUGAAGUAUUGGUUAUCAGUGGGUGCUCAGCCUUCAGAUCCUGUCCAACGCAUCCUUUUCAGAGCGGGGUUACUACCCCCACCACCAAUGGUGGCGAUGGGGCGUAAAGGUGGACCUCGCGACACACGUCCAGUUGAUCCAAUGACUGGACGAAUUUUGGAUCCAGAGAAGAUGUCCAAUGUUCUGCCCAAUCAAAAAGCCAAGGAAGCUGGAACAACCAACCCAUGAAACUUCCAUUUUCGCAGUUCUCUAGUCUUUUCUCUUUCAUAAAGGAAGGAGGACCUUUUAGGGUGGGUGAGUAGGUGUGAUUCCACAAUAUUUGCACUUUGAUCGCCUGAAGGAUGAAUAUUGUGAAAAAUAACUCACUGAACAUAAUCCAGUGCUUACCAGGUUCAGGGAUGAAUUUCUUGGACGUCCCGGAAUCAGCUUCAGAUUUAUCUAGCUUUGGUGCACGCCUAUGUCAUAAGUUUUCUUUAUUGAUGCCCU
rnacentral:misc_RNA from 1 species